rnacentral:tRNA from 1 species
GGCCCCAUAGCUUAGCCUGGUAGAGCGCUGGUCUUAUAAGCCAGAGGUCCUGGGUUCAAAACGGAGCGACUUCGCUAACGCUUAGUCACUGAGUUUCAGGAGAUAGCGUGAAUCUUUGAGAUUCCCGGUGGGGCCA